rnacentral:rRNA from 1 species
UGGUUAAGCGACCAAGGGCGCACGGUGAAUGCCUUGGCACUAGGAGCCGAUGAAGGACGGGACGAACACCGAUAUGCUUCGGGGAGCUGUAAGUGAGCUGUGAUCCGAAGAUUUC